UACGUAGGUGGCAAGCGUUGUCCGGAAUUAUUGGGCGUAAAGCGCGCGCAGGCGGUCCUUUAAGUCUGAUGUGAAAGCCCACGGCUCAACCGUGGAGGGUCAUUGGAAACUGGGGGACUUGAGUACAGAAGAGAAGAGUGGAAUUCCACGUGUAGCGGUGAAAUGCGUAGAGAUGUGGAGGAACACCAGUGGCGAAGGCGGACUCUUUGGUCUGUAACUGACGCUGAGGCGCGAAAGCGUGGGGAGCAAACAGG
rnacentral:rRNA from 1 species